GUUGACUUCUAGUGAUAGGAAUAUUCCAAUCAGAGUUCCACAUUCAUCUUGCUCUUUCAUUGGUGCUGAACUCUUAAAUCAAGGGUUUCUUUUGGUUUCCAUUGUGGAUAACAUUUUAAGCUCUAGCAUCUGUUCUAUGUUUAGGAUCUUCUAUAGUUCCCAAGUCAUGUUAAUCUCUAACAUCUUUUGGUUUCCUGCAUCAUGCAAAUAUUCAAAGAUAAUCCUGAAUUAGUGAAGCAUGAUAAAUUUUUAAUAUAUACUUCUUUCUUAGACAUUAUUGACAUUUUAUCUUGGAAUUAUUCGUUGGAUGAAAA
rnacentral:lncRNA from 1 species